GACGAACGCUGGCGGCGUGCUUAACACAUGCAAGUCGAACGAAGUGGCGAACGGGUGAGUAAUACGUGGGUAACCUGCCCUCCUUUUUGGGAUAAGCCUUGGAAACGGGGUCUAAUACCGAAUAAAGGGGGAUGGGCUCGCGGCCUAUCAGCUUGUUGGUGGGGUAAUGGCCUACCAAGGCCGUGACGGGUAGCCGGCGUGAGAGGGGAACCGGGCACAUUGGGACUGAGAUACGGCCCAGGCUACUACGGGUGGGAGCAUUGGGGGAUAUUGGACAAUGGGCGAAAGACUGAUGCAGCGAGGCCGCGGGGGGGAUGAGGGCUUUCAGGUUGUAAACCUGGGUCGGAAGCGAACGGGUAGGUGGAGAAGAAGCGCCGGCUAACUACGUGCCAGCAGCCGCGGUAAUAC
rnacentral:rRNA from 1 species